GGUUGUCAGAAGCCCGCGAGAAUUGAAAUCGAAACCGCAUCCGAAGGUUUCCGUAUUGCCUCCUCCUCUUCGUCUCUUCCCCUCUGGAUCGAGGAAAUGGAAGAAGUCCCAUCGACGAGGAUCGCCGCAGGAAAGGAAGGGACCGAACAAGCAGCUGGAGACACAGUGGUUCCGCCGAUGGGGGCGACGGAGACGAUUAAUCUUUCGGUGAAGAUGGCAAGGCUGACAUCGGAUGAGACGGAGAAAGGACAGACGGGCAAGAUCUUAAUUACGCUGUCGAUUUCCAAUUACGUUAGUAGGUAUCAAGACACAAACAUCAAAGGCACGAAGCCCCAUUGGGGGCGAAAGAAAUGUUUCAGCGCGAGCUUGAUAUCUCUUCGCUGGUUUAGGGAUAUCUGAAAUAACUCCAGAAACCUAUAAAAUCGUUUGAAUGAGGGGUGCGUCAUCCUAAAAACUUGGAAUAUCUGAUUGAGAAGGGUGGUUUACUUUCGGGAAGAAGGUUAAAGUUUUUCAUUUGCUGCCUAUUACUUUCCUUGGUCCUGUAAUUUUGGCAACUUGAUUUGUUAGGACAUUUUAUAAAUUUUAAAUUAUAUGGUUUAAUAAAAUAAAUAGAAGGUUUUCGCUUUCUAAAGUGUAAGUUCAAAUUUAUAGUUACUAAACUAUCUUAUUAUUCUUUUC